GACGAACGCUGGCGGCGUGCUUAACACAUGCAAGUGGUGCGACGAACCAGGCUUCGGCCUGGGGCAAAGCCGCGAACGGGUGAGUAACACGUGGGUAACCUGCCCCGAUGACUGGGACAACCCGGGGAAACCCGGGCUAAUACCGGAUGAGCUCACCGCCCUCUGGGGCGAUGAGGAAAGGUAGCUUCGGCCUCCGCAUCGGGAUGGGCCCGCGGCCCAUUAGCUUGUUGGUGAGGUAACGGCUUACCAAGGCAACGAUGGGUAGCUGGUCUGAGCGGACGAUCAGCCACACUGGGACUGAGACACGGCCCAGACUCCUACGGGAGGCAGCAGUGGGGAAUCUUGCGCAAUGCGCGAAAGCGUGACGCAGCAACGCCGCGUGGGGGAAGACGGCCUUCGGGUUGUAAACCCCUUUCAGUUGGGACGAAGCCUUCUCUGGUUAAGAGCUGGAGAGGUGACGGUACCUUCAGAAGAAGCCCCGGCUAACUACGUGCCAGCCGCCGCGGUAACAC
rnacentral:rRNA from 1 species